UACGUAGGGUGCGAGCGUUAAUCGGAAUUACUGGGCGUAAAGCGUGCGCAGGCGGUUUUGUAAGCCAGAUGUGAAAUCCCCGGGCUUAACCUGGGAAUGGCAUUUGGGACUGCAAGGCUCGAGUGCGGCAGAGGAGACUGGAAUUCCUGGUGUAGCAGUGAAAUGCGUAGAUAUCAGGAGGAACACCGGUGGCGAAGGCGGCUUUCUGGACAGUAACUGACGCUGAGACGCGAAAGCGUGGGGAGCGAACAGG
rnacentral:rRNA from 1 species